rnacentral:rRNA from 1 species
AAGAGUUUGAUCAUGGCUCAGAUUGAACGCUGGCGGCAGGCCUAACACAUGCAAGUCGAACGGUAACAGGAAGCAGCUUGCUGCUUUGCUGACGAGUGGCGGACGGGUGAGUAAUGUCUGGGAAACUGCCUGAUGGAGGGGGAUAACUACUGGAAACGGUGGCUAAUACCGCAUAACGUCGCAAGACCAAAGAGGGGGACCUUCGGGCCUCUUGCCAUCAGAUGUGCCCAGAUGGGAUUAGCUUGUUGGUGAGGUAACGGCUCACCAAGGCGACGAUCCCUAGCUGGUCUGAGAGGAUGACCAGCCACACUGGAACUGAGACACGGUCCAGACUCCUACGGGAGGCAGCAGUGGGGAAUAUUGCACAAUGGGCGCAAGCCUGAUGCAGCCAUGCCGCGUGUAUGAAGAAGGCCUUCGGGUUGUAAAGUACUUUCAGCGGGGAGGAAGGUGUUGUGGUUAAUAACCGCAGCAAUUGACGUUACCCGCAGAAGAAGCACCGGCUAACUCCGUGCCAGCAGCCGCGGUAAUACGGAGGGUGCAAGCGUUAAUCGGAAUUACUGGGCGUAAAGCGCACGCAGGCGGUCUGUCAAGUCGGAUGUGAAAUCCCCGGGCUCAACCUGGGAACUGCAUUCGAAACUGGCAGGCUUGAGUCUUGUAGAGGGGGGUAGAAUUCCAGGUGUAGCGGUGAAAUGCGUAGAGAUCUGGAGGAAUACCGGUGGCGAAGGCGGCCCCCUGGACAAAGACUGACGCUCAGGUGCGAAAGCGUGGGGAGCAAACAGGAUUAGAUACCCUGGUAGUCCACGCCGUAAACGAUGUCUACUUGGAGGUUGUGCCCUUGAGGCGUGGCUUCCGGAGCUAACGCGUUAAGUAGACCGCCUGGGGAGUACGGCCGCAAGGUUAAAACUCAAAUGAAUUGACGGGGGCCCGCACAAGCGGUGGAGCAUGUGGUUUAAUUCGAUGCAACGCGAAGAACCUUACCUGGUCUUGACAUCCACAGAACUUUCCAGAGAUGGACUGGUGCCUUCGGGAACUGUGAGACAGGUGCUGCAUGGCUGUCGUCAGCUCGUGUUGUGAAAUGUUGGGUUAAGUCCCGCAACGAGCGCAACCCUUAUCCUUUGUUGCCAGCGAUUAGGUCGGGAACUCAAAGGAGACUGCCAGUGAUAAACUGGAGGAAGGUGGGGAUGACGUCAAGUCAUCAUGGCCCUUACGACCAGGGCUACACACGUGCUACAAUGGCGCAUACAAAGAGAAGCGACCUCGCGAGAGCAAGCGGACCUCAUAAAGUGCGUCGUAGUCCGGAUUGGAGUCUGCAACUCGACUCCAUGAAGUCGGAAUCGCUAGUAAUCGUGGAUCAGAAUGCCACGGUGAAUACGUUCCCGGGCCUUGUACACACCGCCCGUCACACCAUGGGAGUGGGUUGCAAAAGAAGUAGGUAGCUUAACCUUCGGGAGGGCGCUUACCACUUUGUGAUUCAUGACUGGGGUGAAGUCGUAACAAGGUAACCGUAGGGGAACCUGCGGUUGGAUCACCUCCUUACCUUAAAGAAGC